rnacentral:lncRNA from 1 species
GCGAGGUCUGGGUAUGGAUAGAUGGCAGUGGAUUCCACGGUCACUAUCAGAGAGUUAGGUUGCCAUAGUUACUCCUCCAUUAGACUUCCUUCCCAGCAACCAGACACCAUUGCUGUGCCAAAUAGUCACCACCACAGGUGUAAGGGAAGGGCAGGGCAAACUGAAGAGCUCCAUGUACUGUGGUUUUCCAUCUGCCAUAGGCCAGUGGAAUCUGCUGCCAAGAUCUGAUUUUGUGAAACAGUGCAAAUUUCUUAUCAAACCCGUUCCUGCCAUCCCUCCACAAGUUUGGGCUACCAAGAAAUCCAAAAGGAGGAUGGUUGCAUCUUUCCUGCAGGGGGUGAACAGAGUCUCAGCUUCAGGGGAUAUUAUCCUCACUGGACAGGGAGGAUUAGACAGUCUGCACUUCCAUGCUGACCGGCAAGCUCCAGCUACUGCUACUCCUGGCAACUCAUGGCUGAUUUGCUUUGGAUUUGAAGCAACUGUUGUCAAGAACUUAAACCUCAAGAGGUGAAUAGCAGGCCUCCUUAAGGUAUCUUCCCUUUUCCCAGCCAUCCUGUCUCUUCCUGCUUCUUUAAACCCAACCAAGGGAUGAAUAUUAUUUUCUAAUGACUGAAAGAAGACAGAUAAGAGGCAGGUCUUCAGAUUAAGAAUCCAAGACUUGAUUGCAGCUCUUAUCAUACUUCUUUUCCAUUUUUUCCCUCUUCUUCCCACCAGAAAAUAAAUUGCUUCAAUAAAUUAUGUCUUUAAUCUGC